UACGUAGGGGGCAAGCGUUGUCCGGAUUUAUUGGGCGUAAAGAGCGUGUAGGCGGCCAGAUAGGUCCGUUGUGAAAACUCGAGGCUCAACCUCGAGACGCCGAUGGAAACCAUUUGGCUAGAGUCCGGAAGAGGAGAGUGGAAUUCCUGGUGUAGCGGUGAAAUGCGCAGAUAUCAGGAAGAACACCCGUGGCGAAGGCGGGUCUCUGGGCCGAUACUGACGCUGAGGAGCGAAAGCGUGGGGAGCGAACAGG
rnacentral:rRNA from 1 species